AUUGAACGCUGGCGGCAGGCCUAACACAUGCAAGUCGAGCGGAUGAAGGGAGCUUGCUCCUGGAUUCAGCGGCGGACGCGUGAGUAAUGCCUAGGAAUCUGCCUGGUAGUGGGGGAUAACAUCCGGAAACGGGCGCUAAUACCGCAUACGUCCUGCGGGAGAAACUGGGGGAUGUUCGGACCUCACGCUAUCAGAUGAGCCUAGGUCGGAUUAGCUAGUUGGUGGGGUAAAGGCCUACCAAGGCGACGAUCCGUAACUGGUCUGAGAGGAUGAUCAGUCACACUGGAACUGAGACACGGUCCAGACUCCUACGGGAGGGAGCAGUGGCGAAUAGGGGACAAUGGGCGAAAGCCUGAUACAGCCAUGCCGAGUGUGUGAAGAAGGUCUUCGGAUUGUAAAGCACUUUAAGUUGGGAGGAAGGGCAGUAAGUUAAUACCUUGCUGUUUUGACGUUACCAACAGAAGAAGCACCGGCUAACUUCGUG
rnacentral:rRNA from 1 species